rfam:Schistocephalus solidus strain NST_G2 genome assembly, scaffold: SSLN_scaffold0020385
GUCAGCGACCAUACCACGUAGAAAGCACCGGUUCUCGUCCGAUCACCGAAGUUAAGCUACGAUGGGCCCGGUUAGAACUUGCAUGGGUGACUUGCUGAGAAUACUGGGUUUUGCUAACA